rnacentral:rRNA from 1 species
UUGAAUUUCGGGAUCGAAUUGUUGGUCGUGCUUCGGUACGUACUGGCAUUAUUGGUUCCUACCUUCUGAAGAACCGCGAUGUCAUUAAUUUGGUGUCGUGGGGAAUCAGGACUGUUACUUAGAAAAAAUUAGAGUGUUUAAAGCAGGCGCACGCUUGAAUACAUUAGCAUGGAAUAAUGAAAUAGGACGUUUGAUUCUAUUUUGUUGGUUUCUAGGAUUGACGUAAUGAUUAAUAGGGAUAGUUGGGGGCAUUAGUAUUCAAUUGUCAGAGGUGAAAUUCUUGGAUUUAUUGAAGACUAACUACUGCGAAAGCAUUUGCCAAGGAUGUUUUCACUAAUCAAGAACGAAAGUUAGGGGAUCGAAGACGAUCAGAUACCGUCGUAGUCUUAACCAUAAACUAUGCCGACUAGGGAUCGGAUGAUGUUAAUUUUUAAUGACUC